rnacentral:rRNA from 1 species
UACGGUGAAUACGUUCCCGGACCUUGUACACACCGCCCGUCGAGCCAUGGAAGCUGGGUGUACCUAAAGUCGGUAACCGCAAGGAGCCGCCUAGGGUAAAACUAGUAACUGGGGCU